GAUGAACGCUGACAGAAUGCUUAACACAUGCAAGUCAACUUGAACUUCGGUUUGGGUGGCGGACGGGUGAGUAACGCGUAAAGAACUUGCCUCACAGAUAGGGACAACAUUUGGAAACGAAUGCUAAUACCUGAUAUUAUGAUUUUAGGGCAUCCUAGAAUUAUGAAAGCUAUAUGCGCUGUGAGAGAGCUUUGCGUCCCAUUAGCUAGUUGGAGAGGUAACAGCUCACCAAGGCGAUGAUGGGUAGCCGGCCUGAGAGGGUGAUCGGCCACAAGGGGACUGAGACACGGCCCUUACUCCUACGGGAGGCAGCAGUGGGGAAUAUUGGACAAUGGACCAAGAGUCUGAUCCAGCAAUUCUGUGUGCACGAUGAAGUUUUUCGGAAUGUAAAGUGCUUUCAGUUGGGAAGAAAAAAAUGACGGACCAACAGAAGAAG
rnacentral:rRNA from 1 species